AUAUCCACAAAAUGCUUUGAUAAUUCCGAUUAAUUUUUGGAGGCACUAGGUACUUAGGCAAAUUUAGGGAAACUAGUGCCA
rnacentral:snRNA from 1 species